rnacentral:tRNA from 1 species
GUCCCCGUAGCUCAAUUGGUUAGAGCGUCCGGCUCAUAACCGGCAGGUUACAGGUUCGAGUCCUGUCGGGGACA